CAGUAUUCCGUUACUAUCCUCCAACCCAAACUUAAAAAUGUCAACGUGCUGAUGGAAACGAAAAACUUCCUCAUUGAAAUAUCUCCGUAUUAAAACUUCAUUUAUUUAUAGUAUUUUUAGUAAAGGAUUCUGUUUGACAGUCAAAAGCGGGUAUUGUUUUUAUCCUCGAAAAUAAGAGUGACGAAAAAUAACACUUAUGUAACAUUUUUGAGGAGCUACUCGUUUCUUGAAUUUUCUAAAAAAAAAAAAAAAAACAUAUUUCGAAAAAAGUUCACGUUUUCCGAGGCAAUGACUUCGGUUGUUCACUCUGUAUAGUUAUAACAGACCUUACCUUUAUCAACGCCACAAUUUGAAAACCUAAUUUUUAUAAUUUUUUAAUUCUUACGCCCGCUCGGAGCGUGUACGCAAUUAUUCGUGUUCCGCGACCAUAUCGUUUUAAAACGCAUUUCGGAUGUUUCCCGCACGCCAUUUCAAAAGUUGUUCGCAAAAUUGUAUCACGCCUUCGUAAUAAUGCAGGCGUACUUACCUAUAUCUACUAUGGAAUACGGUCUCGGGGCUUA